UACGAAGGGGGCUAGCGUUGUUCGGAAUCACUGGGCGUAAAGCGCACGUAGGCGGCUUGUUAAGUCGGGGGUGAAAUCCUGAGGCUCAACCUCAGAACUGCCUUCGAUACUGGCAAUCUCGAGUCCGGAAGAGGUUGGUGGAACAGCUAGUGUAGAGGUGAAAUUCGUAGAUAUUAGCUAGAACACCAGUGGCGAAGGCGGCCAACUGGUCCGGUACUGACGCUGAGGUGCGAAAGCGUGGGGAGCAAACAGG
rnacentral:rRNA from 1 species